CCUACGGGAGGCAGCAGUGAGGAAUAUUGGUCAAUGGCCGGAAGGCUGAACCAGCCAUGCCGCGUGAAGGUCAGUGCCCUAUGGGCGUUAAACUUCUUUUGUGCGGGAGCAAUAAUGGUCACGUGUGGCCAGACGAGAGUACCGUACGAAUAAGCAUCGGCUAACUCCGUGCCAGCAGCCGCGGUAAUACGGGGGAUGCAAGCGUUAUCCGGAUUUAUUGGGUUUAAAGGGUGCGUAGGCUGUGAGGUAAGUCAGCGGUGAAAUGCCCCCGCUCAACGGGGUGAAGUGCCAUUGAUACUGCCUGGCUGGAAUGCGGAUGCCGUGGGAGGAAUGUGUGGUGUAGCGGUGAAAUGCAUAGAUAUCACACAGAACACCGAUUGCGAAGGCAUCUCACGAAUCCGCGAUUGACGCUGAUGCACGAAAGCGUGGGUAUCAAACAGGAUUAGAUACUCUGGUAGUC
rnacentral:rRNA from 1 species